UGGGAUGUAGUAUAACGGUGCAUUACCCUCGCCUGAUACGCGAGAGAACAGGGUUCAACUCCCUGCAUCCCUA
rnacentral:tRNA from 1 species